rnacentral:lncRNA from 1 species
CAUGGGCGCUGCCACCCAACCCCGGGAGCCCAGCCAAGCGCUGUGUUUUUCCAGGUCCGCGCAGGGCCAGGGGAACCCUGCGUGUUUGUUUGGUGGGAAUGGAUUACUGGAAAGCUAGACGGAAGGUACCCUGUAAACCGGCAGCUCCCAACUCCAUCCCAUUGAUGGAUAUCAUCCAGUGCCACCAGAGGGGCUGUGAGUGCCUUGAUUUUUGUGCGAGGACAACAACUUCAGGAACAGGAACCAACAAAGGUCUCCCACUUUUGCAGAAGUCAUGCAUUGCGUUAGAGGCUGUUUCCUUUCUCUAGGCUCUGAACAUUUGCCCAGGCUGCAGAUGCUGGGAAUUUGCUCUAUGACCCCACCACACUUGUUCUGCUUAGGGUAUCAAAGCUCUUUGUGACCGAGGUUACCGUAAAGAUUUCCUGUGGAGGGAGAUGCCAGGGACAGAGCAUGCAUCUGGAAGGCUCACAGCGUGGACUCUGUGUGGUGACACUGAAGUUCCAUGUUCUUCAAGAAAUGUCUAGACUGGAUGACCUCAUUGGAGAUCUUCUGGCACAAAGCCCUUUUCACACAGCAAACUGAGACCCAGAGAGGGGAAGUGACUGUCCCAGGUCACUCAGCAAGCUGGUGGCCGAGCUGGAAUUAGAUCUCAGGUCUCCUGACAUCCAGUUCAAUCAUUAAUUACACACAGUUGUUGAGGACCUACUAUAUGCCAGGCACUCUGCUGGGCACUGGGAUACAGCUGUGAACAAAAUGAAGAGCCUGCAUACAGCUUAGAUGCUCUGGUGUUUAUGUGGGGAGAUGGUGGGUAAGCAAAUAAACAAAUGUAUCCCAUAAUGCCAUGUAGUUAGGAUCACUAGGAAGCUCUGUGCUCCUCGUCCUCUGUCUUUGGAAGGAAGGGGUUAGAGGCUUGGGAGAUGCUCCCUUACGUGUUCACUCAUUAAGUAAAUAUCAGUGAGGCCCCACUGUGUGUUGGGUGCUGUGGCGACACACACGCAUAAGAGCAGGAUCUGCUUUCAAAAGCGUGCCGCUCAAUGGGCAGACAGGGCACACCUCUUAGCAUCGUCUUUACAUGUACGGCUAUUGUUUUUAUGCUCCUUGUUUUCCUCUCCUGGUCUCUUCCUAAGAGAAGGCUUGUAGAAAACUCUGAUCCUGAUGUGGUGUAAAUCCCUUCCCCAAAAGGCUUCUGGAAUCCAAUCGCUGCUACUGACUUAUUGAGGGACAUCACCCAGUGACCUGGGGAGGCGGUGGGCAGCCCAGCCACAGCCUCUGAUAAGGAGAGACAACCCAGCAUCCGCCCUGCAGUGAAUAAUAGAACAAAAAGCUGCCGGCGCCAGCAGGAUCAAAGCGCAGGGGUGGUGGUGUCUCUGGGUUAAACACAUCAGCAGUGGGGGCUGGAGCAGGUGGUGGACGCAGCUGGGAGGGAAGUCUGGGGUGUGGAGGAACCUUCAGCGGGAGAAAGGAUUUCUGUGCCUUACAAGAAGGUCUCCUGUGGCUCUCUUCUGUACCUUCCCUGGAGACCGAGGACUCUUCCCUCCACCCUCCCUCUCCACCACCCCCACCCCCACAGCCUAAAGAGAUGGAACGGCUGAGGCAGGAGGCGAGGGGGAAAAGCAUACUGUACUAGGAGGCAGGAGACACUGGACCCCUGAGCUUAGGCGUCGCUGAAUUAUUUCCUAGGACACAGUCCCCUGUUCUGUAAAACGAGGAGGUUGAAAUAUGGUCUAGAACUUUCUUCCUGCUUUCAUAAACUGUAUUUUUCCGAAAAGAGGCAAAGAAGAUCUAUUACUUAGGGUCCCUGUCCAGUUACUUCUAGGCCAGGCAGAGAGAUCGCCAUAGCUGUCCUGGGCUCCUCCUCAAACUCAGUCUGUAAGCCCCCAUUUCUCCAGGGGGCGAGAGGGACCCAUAGGAGGGCAUGUGGAGGGACUGUAUUAUUUAUUCCCUCAUUCCACAUGCUCCCACUUGCCAUUGGAGAAACCAGAAGCUGCCUUAGAGUAAUUUUUUUUGGAUGAAUGAUUCCUGGGAUUUUUACCUUAAAAGAAUAUUUUAAGAUGUUAACGUUAGUAUUGGUGUCUUUAAAUAUAUACGCAGUUCUAGAGUGGAAGACCCGGGUGGUAUGUGAUGUUCUGGGGAUCUUUGCAGAUGUUUAUCUCAGUCAAGAAGAUGCCCAGGGUUCUUAACACACUUUGAGAACCACACCCUGACCGUUCCUUGUGACCGUGUGUGUGUGUGUGUGUGUGUGCAGGUGAGUGUCCAUGCAUGUGUGUGUGUGUCUGUGUGUGUGCCUGUGCCCUGAGUCAGCCUGAGUCCUGGGCCUUUUGUCUUUCCUCCUGAAUAAGCCAAAGGAGGAGGUCAGUGUAUAAUUAGAGGAAGAAAUGUGUCAGUCAGGAAAUAACCCAUUUUACUAGUGGAAAGUUAUUGAAAGCCCAUCCUUUUGUGUGUGAGCACCGGGGCCUUUAGGCAGAUGAGGAAUCUCAGAACAGAGUGGGAAGAUAAACCAGACCAAUAUUAAAGGCAAAAACUCCCAUGUUUGAUAUAAACCCAAGAUUCACGCAUGGAACCCAAUGCAGGUCCACCCAGACAGAGCACGUAGGGUGCACACACAUGCACAGCUCCACACGGGCACUGCACAGACAGACCUGUGGGAUGGCACCCCUGCACACGCAUGUACACUGAACAUCCUCACAGAUACAUUCAGUAUAGGGGAGGGACCCAGGGUUAUGGGUUGAACUGUGUCCCCCAAAAUAUGCUCAAGUCCUAACCCCUGGUACCAGUGAAUGUGACCUUAUUUGGAAGUUGGGUCUCUGCAGUGUAAACAGGUUUAGAUGCGGUCAUACUGGAGUGGAAUGGGCCCUGAUCCAAUGUGAUUGGUGUCCUUAUAUAAAGAGGAAAAUUUGGAUGUAGACAGAGGGAGGAUGGAGGCAGAGACUGGAGUGAUGCUGCCACAAGCCAAGGAAGGCCUUGGGCUCCCAGAAGCUGGAAGAAGCAAGAAGAGAUCCUUCUCUAGGGAUGGACGCUGGAGGGACCAUGGUCCUGCAAUGCCUUGAUUUGCACUUCUAGCUCCAGAACUGUGAGAGAAUAAAUCUCUGUUGUUUUAAGCCCCUCAGUCUGUGGUGCUGUGUCCCGGAAGAUGAAGACAACAGAUACAUAGACUAUGUGGUGCAUGUCUACACCCAGGAUGCACAGGACCUUUGGCACAGGCAGCAAGAGAUACUUAGGGCAUAUAGACUUCCCCUGCUCCUCUGCUCCCUCCCGGCAGCCUCAGCCUUCUUUCUUCUUGACCUCAUUCCCCACAGUGGCCUGAGAUCACCCCCACCGUCACCACAGCAGCCAACAUUUAUUGUGCACUUUUCUCUCUGCUGAGCACUAGUCUAAACGCUUAAGGUUAGUUAACCGAAUCUUCACAACAACUCUAGGUGUUGUCCCCAUUCACGGAUGAGGAAACUGAGGCACAGAGAAGUUGAAUAACUUGCCCAAGUAAGUGGGGGCAGAGAACUUGGAAUUUGGUGUAGAUCCUGCUUGUGUCUGCCACACCAGGGAAACGACUCUUUUCUCCGGAUUCUGUUAAGGACUGUGUUCCAAGUAAUACCUGGGGUGUCAGUCGCCUGCUUUAUGGGUCCUGGGCUGUGAUGUCCACAGCUAGACCUCUGACACUAAAGGUCUCCUCUCCACCUCCACCUCAGCCUGUCAGACCUGCGAUGAGCUGUUUGAAGCAGUAGGAGCGGGGGGGGGGGGGGGGGGGGGGAACAACAUGGGCUCAGAGCAUCCAUCCCCCUCCUCCUUGACUUCUUGUUUUGAUUGAGGAAUAUUUUCGUACCAUAAGAUGCACACAUUUUGAAGUGUACAGUUGGAUGAGAUUUAGGAAUAUAACCACCACUCCGAUUACAAAAGACCAUUUCUGUCACCACAGAAAGUUCCCUUGUGCCCCUUCAAAGUCGAUUGCCAUCUCCACCCCAGGCGACACUUGAUCCCAUUUCUACUACUGUAGAUUAACUUUGUGUGUUCUCUAACUUCACAUACUUGGAAAUACAUAAUACGUACUUUUUUACUUAUGUGGCUCCUUUUACUCAGCAUGAUGUUUUUGAGAUUGAGGCUUGUAGUUACAUAUGCCAAUAGUUAUUCUUUUCUUUGUUGCUGAGUAGUAUUCCAUUGAAUGGAUGUACUCCCAUUUAUUUAUCCAUCCACGUGUUGAUAGACAUUUAGGUCAUUUGCUGCCUUGGCUAUUACAAAUAAAGUUACUGUGAACAUCUGGAUAUAA